UGUAAAUCAGAACAAUCCAUAUGCACUCAAAUAUCUGCAGUUUUCAGGAGUGUUAGAUUCUGCACUUGGAAUUCUUAUUUAGCUAAAAGAUGUGUAAAAACAUAUGCAGGCAGACGGUUCUUUGGCAGCACACCUGAAGAAGAUCAAGCAUGUAAAUGAUUGCUUAUAAGUCCAAUAGUAACUCACGUUCACUAAAGAAGUUCCAGAGCUCUCUUUGGAGUAUGGUGGAAAUAAUUUAUUUGUUUUGUGGAAAGUACGCUUUCACAGCUAAGCAACAUAGCUUUAGGGAAUAAAUACCAAUGACAUAGUCACAUAGGACCUAUAAUCCAAUUAUUAUUUUUUUAAAUGGUAGCAGAACAAUCCUGACAUAAAACUAAUGCCAAGAGGAGUGUAUCAUGCAUUUCAAAAUGUUUUCCUAAUACAUCAGAUCUGAGAAGUGAAACUAAGAAGGGAACUGAAAACUUGAGUCAUAUUGUAAAUCCAUGGACUUUUCUAUACACCAGGAAGAAAGACACCAUGAGCUUUGCUGAUAGGACCAUUAAGUCUUAAUUUGUGAAUCCCCUCCUGGUCAGCAAUAUGUAUACUUUUUCUGGUCAGCAGUCCAUUAUGACAAAUCUGACACCUCUCCAGGCAGCAGGAGUCAGAUUUGUCAAAAUUCUGAUGGCCUCAAGCCUGUUAUUUCCUAACUGACACAACUAAUUUUUUAAAUAAUUAACUUGCACAGCUAAGUAUGACCACCAUUCAUAUAUCUGAAGUCUUCUUGAGCAGUUGUUGUUUACUAAUUACAACAAAUGCACAAACAGAGGAAUAGCCACAAAUGAUUUUUUUUUCUUUACAAGGAGAAUGUUAAGAGGCAAGAUGUGUUUUCUGUAUUCCCCAAACUUUCUAACCAGCACACCUACCUGAAAGUGGGUAAUGAGUGUCAGCCUUGCAAAGGAAUAAUUUCUAGAGAAAGAAGAGUCUAGGCCUGCAAAUCACUCUCUGAGUACCCCUGUUCCCCACAAUACUGGAAGCAGGGGGCUGGACAUGAAGCCACCUAGUGGUGAGGGAAAUAUAUUAUAUCCAUACCCACAUGGAGUAUAGUCUUCAUAAUUUCACACACUCCAGCAAAAAGCAAAGGGCAGAGGGAACAUUUUUGAAGGUCUGCAUCAACCUGACUGUUUCACUGAAAUAAGCUGGCUAUUGCAAACGGUUGUGAAUUUGUCCUUUAACACUGAGCAUAUAUGGCAGCAAAACUUCACAUUAAAAAUACUUACAGUGGUACCUCGGGUUAUGAACUUAAUUCGUUCCGGAGGUCUGUUCUUAACCUGAAACUGUUCUUAACCUGAAGCACCACUUUAGCUAAUGGGGCCUCCUGCUGCCGCCGCACGAUUUCUGUUCUUAUCCUGAAGCAAAGUUCUUAACCCGAGGUACUAUUUCUGGGUUAGUGGAGUCUGUAACCUGAAGUGCCUGUAACCUGAAGCAUCUGUAACCCGAGGUACCACUGUAUUCUGCUUAAAUCUUUCUUUUACAUGGGACUCACAAUGGUCUGAGCAGUUCAGUUUCAGCAAUAGUGCAACAACAGAUGAUUCCCAGGUCUUGGACAACACCCAUUUCCAUAGUACUGGCUGAGGGAUUUGAAGCAGCGCUCUGUGGUACGGAGGCAAGCUGUGCAUCAUCUUGAUCCUAUUCCUGGCUAUUUAAUUUGCAGCGAACACAGCGCUUCAACCAGCACCUUCCUGAGCUCCGCUUGAUGGAUAAUUGCAAAGGAGACAAACGGAGAAUGAAGACUUUGUUUUUGUUUUUCCCCUCCAAAUCACAAAGGCUUAAAAAAGCAACUGCACACUUCCUACUCGACCUGAAGGCCUUUGCCCAUGGGCAAGGUGAAGGAAAGCACUUUGUUUAAAAGGAGUGUUGGGGGAAGAGCGGGUCACAAUACUGAGAUCGAUCAAAGUCUAGCAUUUCUAUCUUAUCUAUUUGGAAUCGUAUAAUUUGAGAAUUAAGAUGCCCCUAAGCUUCGCUCCUCCCCACCAUCAAAUUACAUUCAAUCAUGGCAUGCAGAAAAGCGGUCCAUGAGUUAGCAGCCAGAUGUUAUCAUUACAGGCCUUUGCUUAUAAACCGAUGCUGAAACCUGAGUGGUUGAUGAGGCUAGCUAAGCAGUUGUACCUUUGACCUGAUUGCAUUAAACUUGCCCUAUCAAUUUAAGCUUAGUAUAAACACCAUUUCCCAGAGUCCCUCAUGACUUCGGUGGUGAGAAGAAGCUGACUAAGCCUAAACAUUUUUUAACAGCAAUCUUGUCUUACAACACCAAGGGGAUUUGCUAUGUAUCUGGGGCUUUAUAAAACCAUAUGAACAUGCUGAAAGAAUUAAAGUCCUUUAAAAAAGAAAAAUUGAUGGUGACAGUCCUUUCUGAAAACCAGUAUGUAGGAUGUCAGCACAACUUGGAAACUAGCCUAAUAUAGUUUUAAAGAAUAAGAUGGAUUUGUGUACAUUUCAAACAGUUGCUCCUCAACUUUUUUUUUUAAAAAAAUACAACCUUUUUCAAAUCAUUAGCAUUUAUUUUGAACUAAACUAGAUCCCCCGCCCCAUUCCCCGUCCUGGGAAGGAGAUAGUGGUUGACAUAUCUCCUCAGUAUUAUAUGAUAUUUCAGAGUCUCUUUACAGUCUAGAAGUAGUGCAUAUUUUUCCUGCCACAUUAUUAUUUUUAAAAUGCACAUUACUCCCAAAUAGCUAUUUUCAAAUGAACUGAAGUUGCAGAAAGAUUUCUACAAUUAAUACCACAUUUUUUUGUAUUGUAUAAGGCUGAUAAUGUUUCAACACUUAACAAGACAUGUAAGAUUAGCAACCUUCCCCCAAAGAUGAAACACAGAGGGUUUAAAAGACAGCAGGUUACUAGGUGUUCUAUGCCCUCUUGAUCUGAGCAUAUAAGAAAUUAGAAGAAGAUCGGAGGCUGGUGAUCAUGUCGCUAGAAUUUUAGAUGUGGUUUACGGAAUAGCAAUGCUUUAAAAUCAUGCCAAUAUAUUAGCAGUUUUGUUCAGUUCAAGGAUAGUUCUGGAGUGCCUGCUCUACAUAUUGAUACAGAGAGAAAACUUUCAAUUCUGCGCUACCUUAAAAAACUGACAGUAUAAAUAAUAAAUUGUUGUUGUU